ensembl:lncRNA
UACAGAUCCAAAUGCCAGGUUCAGAGUUGUUAGGUUGGAAGGCUGUACACUUAUUCCAGUGAUUCUGCCAUUAUUCUAAUCUCUUUUGGAAUUCUCUUAUUGGAAUUCCUGUCUUAGACCAAGGCAUGUGGUUUUUGAAGGAUUUAUUGGUGGCAAACUUUGGUUUUGUGAGAAGAUCUGCUAUUCAGAAAAUGCAAAAUGCAUCUGGAGCCCAGUCUGAGCACAGAUCCUUCGGCAGCUUGGUGAAAAGAGGGAGGAGGGUUUGAUCACCGAAUGGAUUCAGAACCCUCACUUUAAAGUGACCACAGGACCAGUCUAUGCCCAGACAUUCCUGCCAACACCACAAAAACGUAUUGCUUUGUGUCUAAAUUCACUAUCCUGAGGUAUCCUGCACUGAAGCUGGAGGUCAGGGGUCAGAUGCUGUGCGCUGAUAGCAGAAUCUCUCCCAUUUUGGAGAAGGCAAUGGCAAUCCACUUCAGUGUUCUUGCCUGGAGAAUCCCCAUGGACAGAGGAGCCUGG